CAAUAGCGUAUAUUAAAGUUGUUGCGGUAAAAAAGCUCGUAGUUGGAUUUCUGUUGAGAGCGACCGGUCCAUACCAUGUAUGCGUAUCUGGCUUGCUCUCGGCAUCCUCUCGAUAGACGUUACUGCGCUUGAUUGCGUGGUGCGGAUCUCGGGACUUUUACUUUGAGGAAAUUAGAGUGUUCACGGCAGGCUUUCGCCAGAAUACAUUAGCAUGGAAUAAUACUAUAGGAUCUUGGUUCUAUUUUGUUGGUUUCUAGAAUUGAGAUAAUGAUUAAUAGGGACAAUUGGGGGCAGUCGUAUCAACACGUCAGAGGUGGAAUUCUUGGAUUGUGUUGCGACGAACUACUGCGAAAGCAUUUGCCAAGGAUGUUUUCAUUGA
rnacentral:rRNA from 1 species